rnacentral:misc_RNA from 1 species
CAGAGUUCGUGCCCUCACGGGUAGAUCUCCCACCCUGUGUUAUUAUACCUUUGUUGCUUUGGCGGGCCGCCCUCGGCUACCGGCCCCGGCUGGUACGCGCCCGCCAGAGGACCCAAUAUUCCUGAUUAUCAGUGUCGUCUGAGUACUAUGAUAAUAGUUA